rfam:Zootermopsis nevadensis contig8014, whole genome shotgun sequence.
GCCACGGUGGUCUAGCGGUCAGAACACUAGCCUUGUAAGCCUGGGGUCCCGGGUUCAAUUCCCGGUGGUGCUC